UACGUAGGCAGCAAGCGUUGUUCGGAGUUACUGGGCGUAAAGGGUGCGUAGGCGGCUUUUUAAGUCUGGUGUGAAAUCUCCCGGCUCAACUGGGAGGGUGCGCCGGAUACUGAGGGGCUAGAGUGUGGGAGAGGAAAGUGGAAUUCCUGGUGUAGCGGUGAAAUGCGUAGAUAUCAGGAGGAACACCGGUGGUGUAAACGGCUUUCUGGACCAUAACUGACGUUGAGGCACGAAAGCGUGGGUAGCAAACAGG
rnacentral:rRNA from 1 species